UUAAGUUAAUAAGGGCGCACGGUGGAUGCCUUGGCACUAGAAGCCGAUGAAGGACGUGACUAACGACGAAAUGCUUUGGGGAGUUGUAAGUAAACAUUGAUCCAGAGAUGUCCGAAUGGGGGAACCCGGCAUGUAAUGCAUGUCACUCAUUACUGUUAAGGUAAUGAAGAGGAAGACGCAGUGAACUGAAACAUCUAAGUAGCUGCAGGAAGAGAAAGCAAAUGCGAUUGCCUUAGUAGCGGCGAGCGAAAUGGCAAGAGGGCAAACCGAUGUGUUUACACAUCGGGGUUGUAGGACUGCGACGUGGGACGACAAGAUUAUAGAAGAAUUACCUGGGAAGGUAAGCCAAAGAGAGUAACAGCCUCGUAUUCGAAAUAGUCUUUAACCCUAGCAGUAUCCUGAGUACGGCGAGACACGAGAAAUCUCGUCGGAAUCUGGGAGGACCAUCUCCUAACCCUAAAUACUCUCUAGUGACCGAUAGUGAACCAGUACCGUGAGGGAAAGGUGAAAAGCACCCCGGGAGGGGAGUGAAAUAGAACCUGAAACCGUGUGCCUACAACAAGUUCGAGCCCGUUAAUGGGUGAGAGCGUGCCUUUUGUAGAAUGAACCGGCGAGUUACGAUAUGAUGCGAGGUUAAGUUGAAGAGACGGAGCCGUAGGGAAACCGAGUCUUAAUAGGGCGCAUUAGUAUCAUGUCGUAGACCCGAAACCAUGUGACCUACCCAUGAGCAGGGUGAAGGUGAGGUAAAACUCACUGGAGGCCCGAACCAGGGCACGUUGAAAAGUGCUUGGAUGACUUGUGGGUAGCGGAGAAAUUCCAAACGAACUUGGAGAUAGCUGGUUCUCUCCGAAAUAGCUUUAGGGCUAGCGUCGAUGUUAAGUCUCUUGGAGGUAGAGCACUGUUUGAUUGAGGGGUCCAUCCCGGAUUACCAAUAUCAGAUAAACUCCGAAUGCCAAUGAGAUAUAAUCGGCAGUCAGACUGCGAGUGCUAAGAUCCGUAGUCGAAAGGGAAACAGCCCAGACCACCAGCUAAGGUCCCAAAAUAUAUGUUAAGUGGAAAAGGAUGUGGGGUUGCACAGACAACUAGGAUGUUGGCUUAGAAGCAGCCACCAUUUAAAGAGUGCGUAAUAGCUCACUAGUCGAGUGACCCUGCGCCGAAAAUGUACCGGGGCUAAACAUAUUACCGAAGCUGUGGAGUACACCUUUAGGUGUAUUGGUAGGAGAGCGUUCUAAGGGCGUCGAAGGCAGAUCGUGAGGACUGCUGGAGCGCUUAGAAGUGAGAAUGCCGGUAUGAGUAGCGAAAGACAGGUGAGAAUCCUGUCCACCGAAUGACUAAGGUUUCCUGGGGAAGGCUCGUCCGCCCAGGGUUAGUCGGGACCUAAGCCGAGGCCGAUAGGCGUAGGCGAUGGAUAACAGGUUGAUAUUCCUGUACCCGUUGUUUUUGUUUGAGCAAUGGAGGGACGCAGGAGGCUAAGGAAUGCAGACGAUCGGAAAUGUCUGUCCAAGCAGUAAGUCUGAAGAGGAGUCAAAUGCUUCUUUUCUUAAGGACAAGCUGUGAUGGGGAGGGAAAUAAUAGUACCGAAGUUCCUGAUGUCACACUGCCGAGAAAAGCUUCUAGUGAGAAAACAGCGGCCCGUACCGCAAACCGACACAGGUAGUCGAGGAGAGAAUCCUAAGGUGAGCGAGAGAACUCUCGUUAAGGAACUCGGCAAAAUGACCCCGUAACUUCGGGAGAAGGGGUGCUGAUCAUACGAUCAGCCGCAGUGAAUAGGCCCAAGCGACUGUUUAUCAAAAACACAGGUCUCUGCAAAAUCGUAAGAUGAAGUAUAGGGGCUGACGCCUGCCCGGUGCUGGAAGGUUAAGAGGAGUGCUUAGCGCAAGCGAAGGUACGAAUUGAAGCCCCAGUAAACGGCGGCCGUAACUAUAACGGUCCUAAGGUAGCGAAAUUCCUUGUCGGGUAAGUUCCGACCCGC
rnacentral:rRNA from 1 species